GUCGAGAAUCUUUCACAAUGGGGGCAACCCUGAUGGAGCGACGCCGCGUGGAGGAUAAGGUCUUCGGAUUGUAAACUCCUGUCAUGCGUGAACAAGGUUGCUUGGAUAAUACCUGAGCAAAUUGAUGGUAGCGCAAGAGGAAGAGACGGCUAACUCUGUGCCAGCAGCCGCGGUAAUACAGAGGUCUCAAGCGUUGUUCGGAAUCACUGGGCGUAAAGGGUGCGUAGGUGGCGUGGCAAGUCAGAUGUGAAAGCCCGGGGCUCAACCUCGGAACUGCAUCCUAUACUGCCAUGCUAGAGUACUGGAGGGGUGACUAGAAUUCUCGGUGUAGCAGUGAAAUGCGUAGAUAUCGAGAGGAAUACCAAAGGCGUAGGCAGGUCACUGGACAGUUACUGACACUGAGGCACGAAGGCCAGGGGAGCGAACGGGAUUAGAAACCCCUGUAGUCC
rnacentral:rRNA from 1 species